GACGAACGCUGGCGGCGUGCUUAACACAUGCAAGUCGAACGGAAAGGCCCUGCUUUUGUGGGGUUCUCGAGUGGCGAACGGGUGAGUAACACGUGAGUAACCUGCCCUUGACUUUGUGAUAACUUCAGGAAACUGGGGCUAAUACCGGAUAUGAGCUCCUGCUGCAUGGUGGUGGUUGGAAAUUUUCGUCGGUUGGGGAUGGACUCGCGGCUUAUCAGCUUGUUGGUGGGGUAGUGGCUUACCAAGGCUUUGACGGGUAGCCGGCCUGAGAGGGUGACCGGCGAAAUGGGGAAUGAGAUACGGCCCAGACUCCAACGGGAGGAAGGAGUGGGGAAUAUUGCAAAAUGGGCGGAAGCCUGAUGAAGCAAAGCCGCGUGCGGGAUGACGGCCUUCGGGUUGUAAACAGAUUUAGACUGUGACGAAGAGUGAGUGACGGUAAUGGGUAAAGAAGGACCGGCUAACUACGUG
rnacentral:rRNA from 1 species